rnacentral:rRNA from 1 species
CCCCAGGUCAGGCGGGAUUACCCGCUGAAUUUAAGCAUAUCAAUAAGCGGAGGAGAAGAAACUUACAAGGAUUCCCCUAGUAACGGCGAGCGAACCGGGAUCAGCCCAGCUUGGGAAUCAGAUGGCUAUGUUAUCUGAAUUGUAGUCUGUAGAAGCGUCCUCAG